CCGAAUCCGUAACGAGUUAAAAAAUACAUCCCAUAAUCCGCUCCGCCUCGUAACCCGCCUCCCGCUAGCGCCCCGAAUUCGCUCCGCCAACUAAUAUUUUUUAUAAAAUUAUAAUAUUAUUAAUAUUUUAUAAAAUAUAAAUUAAUAAUUUUUAAUAAUAUUAUAUAUAUAAUUUAACAAUAUCAAUUAUAAAAAUAAAAAAAUCAAUCACAAUUCAAAACAAAAUUCAAAAAUUU
rnacentral:lncRNA from 1 species